rnacentral:rRNA from 1 species
GACGAACGCUGGCGGCGUGCUUAACACAUGCAAGUCGAACGGAAAGGCGCCAGCUUUCUGGAGUGCUCGAUUGGGGAAGGGGUGAGUAUCACGUGGGCAAACUGCCCCUCACUCUGUGGGAUGCCUUGGGAACUGGGGCUAAUAUCGGGUAGGAUCUUUUUCCCCACGUGGUUUGGUGGAAAGAUACGCUGUGCUGGAUGAUCCUGCGGGCUAUCAGCUUGUUGGUGGAGGUAGGGCCUACCAAGGCGACGCAAGGUAGCCGACCUGAGAGGGUGGGCGGGCACCAGGGGACUGAGAGACGGCCCAGACUGCUACGGGAGGCAGCAGUGGGGAAUCUUGCGCAAUGGGCGCACGCGUGAUGCAGAGGCCCCGGGUGAGGGAUGCCCGCCUUCGAGUUGUGAACAUCUUUCAAAAGGAACGAAGCGCUAGUGACGGUACCUGCAGAAGAAGCACCGGCUAACUACGUG